UUUUUUUUUUUUGUCUAAUAUUCAAAAAAUAAAUAUGAUGUUUGCCUAUAUUCUAUAGUUUUAUGUGUAUCAAAUUCUUUCUGUUUAUUUAUAUUCAUUCAUUUUUCUUAUUAUUCUCAAUUUUGAAUGGGCCAGAUCGCGGGAUUUCUACCUUUUUUGGUGUACUCCUUGUAUACAGCUGACUCUUCUCCCUAACAUUAAUAAGAAUUACUUUAUCAAUUAUUGAAUUAGCAAUGUUCUAAAAUGAUUACAUUGUGUUGCUCUUCAGUAGACUAAGUUGUCAAUCUUGUUGGUCUCUCUUGAACAGUUCUUUGUUAAAUGCAUUGCCCAUCCGAUGAAAAGUAAGUAUAUGGCCACUGAAAUUUGAAAUAUAAUCCCUUCUCACCCAUGCAUUGACAGCCUUUUCCAGUUAGCAUUUAUAACACACCCAACAUGUCAUUUAUUUUCCUUUGUUAGUUUCUUAUUCUUUUAAUAUAUUUGUCUGUCCUUGUAUAUGAUUUCAGGUGUAUACAAAAAAGCUAGUUAGAAGUGACAAGUUCAAAACUGGCGUAGACCAGUUUGUUGACAAGGAGUGUGAAGUGGAAGACAAAAGGGAUGUCUUGAUUGGGAGAAUCCCUGUGAUGGUUAACUCAGAAUUGUGCUGGAUGAAUGGUGUUGACAAGCUUGACUGUGAAUUUGAUCAUGGGGGAUACUUCAUUGUCAAAGGGGCUGAAAAGGUAAGAUCUUCCUGCUAGCACCUCACUCUCGACGCCUCCCUCUGUUCUACCUAAAGAUGGCGUAGAAAACAAGGCUGGACAGUUGGUGUUAGUUAGUAUAGUAUUUAAGCCCUAUUGAGUCUAGAGGGAAGAUUAGAGAACCAUUUUAGUACUCAUAAAAAGAAGAAGAUAACCAUUUUACUACACAUCAAUCUAGCAUAACUCAAAACGGUGGAAUAUCACUUGUUAAUGUUAGAAUUUAUGUUUCAAAUAAAAUAUCUGUGUUAGUUGGACUGUGACACCUUAUUCCUACAAGACAAUAUAUUUGAGUGUUGGAAUGAACUGAGUCCAAUGGGGUGGAAUGCAUAUAGAUGAUUUGUUUAGUCAAACCCAAAAUUGAUUCGUAGUGUUGUACGAGUAAUUGUUGUUGCCUGAAUAGGUGUGUAUUUUGACAGAUAUUCUAACUUUGAUAAUUCAGAUAAUUGCGACAGUUGUGUCCAUAUAAUGGAAGAUGUGACAGAAGAGGAUGAAAGAGAGGAGAAAAUUUAACUUCAUAUUAGACAUUUAACUAAGCGAUUGAUUAAAAUGAUGCAUAGUGUGUGGUAGAUCUGAAGGUGCUAGCUACUUUUUGAGUUGGUUUAUUUGUCUUAAUUGAUGAUACUGUUGAAUAUUGAUCUGAUGAAGGUGAAGUUUAUGUAUUGCGUUGCAUAAUGUUCAGCAGUUUAGAGUUCUGACUGAUGAAACAGUUUUGUAGCAUGCAUGAACCUUUAGGAGGAAAGACUAUGUACCUCCAUCAUAAUUUGAUGUAGUUGGGUAUCACACACUUUUAGUCAGAUAAGAACUCUUAUUUUGUAAGACAAGUUGCAAAAAUAUGCUAAGUUAUUUUUCUUCUGUAAAAAUGUCAACGGCAGUCUUGGAAUAAUAUAAGAACUCUAUGUUUUGUAUAAUGUGUUAAAAUUUGUGUAAUCAUGCUGCAUGUUUAAUACAAGUUGCACAAGUUCUUUUGUAGUAUUGUUACCAUUGAAGAGUCUUAGCUACUCUUUUAUGCAGAAGUUCUUUCUCAAGCUUCAAGCUGAGUAAUGCAAUAAUUUCCCUUGACUGACUACAUAGUACUCCUUUGUCUCAAAAGAAUGACAAAGUACACUUUUGCGGAGUCAAACAGUUGUUUCUUGACUACAAAAAUUGUGGUUUGAGUACACAUUAUCUUGUUUUUAAUAUGUAGGAGCGAUUAGUUCAGUUAAAGAAAAAAGAAUGGUUACUUCUUUUCGAAAAUUAAAUGUGUCUGACUCUUGUACUCCGAAUCCACCAUUCUUUUCGGAAUGUAUGUAACUUUAGCAUGCAUUCUGCACUUGUGCUAUUUACUAUAGUGAUAUAGAAUAUUGUUUAAUCCUUUUGGCCUUUUAGAAGUAUAUUUCCUAUUGCAUUUCUUUAUUGAUUGACAUCUCUUGCAAUUUCCAUUUCAGACCUUCAUUGCACAAGAGCAGCUUUGUUUAAAAAGACUCUGGGUGUCAAACAAUCCCACUUGGAUGGUUGGAUAUCGCCCAGGUGAAAAAAGGAAGAGAGUCUACAUUAAACUGACUGAGACCUUGAAGCUUGAGCACAUUAAGGGAGGAGAAAAAGCCCUCAGUGUUUACAUACUUGCAGAAAUGCCAAUUUGGGUCUUGUUUUUUGCUCUAGGUGUUUCCUCUGACAGGGAGGUAGUAAAUUUAAUUGAUGUGGAUAUUGAAGAUACUACUAUCGUCAAUAUACUAGUAGCUUCCAUCCAUGAGGCUGAUAAGAAUUGUGAGGAUUUCAGGAAGGGGAAAAAGGCUCUUGCUUAUGUUGAUAGACUUAUAAAGAAUUGUAAAUUUCCACCUCAAGAAUCUGUUGAGGAGUGCAUAAAUGCAUACCUGUUCCCUAAUCUUAGUGGUUUCAAGCAGAAGGCUCGCUUCCUUGGCUAUAUGGUAAAAUGCCUCUUGCACUCUUUCAUUGGUCGCAGAAAGGUUGACAACAGAGAUGAUUUUCGAAACAAGAGAUUGGAGCUGGCUGGUGAGCUCCUAGAACGAGAGCUCAGGGCACACAUUAAACAUGCCGAGAGGCGUAUGGUGAAGGCAAUGCAAAGAGAUCUUUAUGGAGAUCGACAAGUGCAGCCAAUUGAGCAUUACUUGGAUGCAUCAAUAAUUACCAAUGGUCUCUCCAGGGCUUUUUCCACUGGGCAUUGGUGUCACCCUUACAAGAGAAUGGAGAGGGUUUCCGGUGUAGUUGCAACUCUCAGACGAACAAAUCCAUUGCAAAUGACUGCUGAUAUGAGGAAAUCACGUCAGCAGGUUACAUACACCGGGAAGGUUGGCGAUGCUAGAUACCCGUAAGUGUUUAUAAAUUUAUAUUGACCAUUGUUUUUGUGCUUUCCAUUAGCAAAAAUGGUGACUUCAUUUGUCUUGCUUCCUGAUUGUUGCUCAUUCUGUCGUAAGUUUUUGGUAUUUUGUUUCUGUUUUGUUUAACUUAAGUAUGAUAAUUUAAUGACUGGUAUAUAACUUAUGUAGACAUCCUUCACACUGGGGAAAACUAUGUUUUCUAUCUACCCCAGAUGGAGAAAAUUGUGGCCUGGUGAAAAAUUUGGCUAGUAUGGGUCUUGUCAGCACAAUUAUUUUGAAACCAUUUCUUGAGACAUUGUUCCGGUGUGGGAUGCAAAAGUUAGUAGACGAUUGUGCCACCUCACUCCAUGGAAAGCAAAAGGUCCUACUUGAUGGGGAGUGGGUUGGAGUAUGUGAAGAUUCUGCACUCUUCGUUUCAAAGCUAAGACGUAAGCGCCGCAGGAAUGAAGUGCCACACCAGGUUGGCUCAUGAUCAUUUUCAUUUAAUUAUGUACAGUUGAAUCAUGGAACCUUGCUGUUGAAUAUUAAUUUAUAUUGCAACGUUGAUCAUUCAGUGGCGUACACAGGAUUUUUCGUAAGCAGUGUCACCUUUUAAAAUGAAAAAAUAAAUAAACAAUAUAACAUCAUAUUAAAUAUAUAUAUAUAUAUAUAUAUAUUACUAUACCUUUUUAUAAAAAUUAAAUAAUAACUUUUGAUGAUUUCCUUUUAUUAAUAAAAUGUAUUCAAAAUAAUACCAUGUGAGAAAGAAGGCAAAUGAAAAGAACAUAAAAAAUGAGGCCAGACAGGUUUGAACCUACCUCACUUACGAGCUCCAAGCCAAAAACCAGUUGGGCUACGCACAACUUUGAUUGAAGGAGUGCCACAUUUAUAAUAUAUAACUAUAUCUCUGUUUUUUCCCUUCUCAGACUGUACAUAUUUCGUAAAAUUUUCCGACGAAGCAGUGUCACGUGACACCCCAUAGCCCUUGCUAAAUCUGCCCCUGUGAUCAUUGAUCCACCAAAAGGAUGGUUAUAAAACUGUCAUCCAAACAUAGUAACUUGUGUUUUUCUCUUUUUCUCAAGUAGGAUGUAAAUCUUUUGUUAUAAUGUAUUGUAUGUACAAUAUCAUGUAAGCGCCACUGGAAUAAGGUCCCACAUUAGCUUAACUCGCGAUCAUUUUGAUUUAGUUAUGUACAUAGUUUAAGACUUAAAAUAUUUGUUUUUUUGUGUGUGCACGCACGCAUUUUGGGGGAUAAAGUAGAAUACUUGUUUAUAUCAUAAGUAUGAUUAUCAAUUUUAUCAAAAGGACAAUUAUCAAACUGUAAGCCGAAUGUCUUGUCUCAUGCUCUUUGCUCCUCAAGUUUCACACCAGGUAACUUAAAAUGUGAAAUAAAGAAUAGAACUGAUAGGAAUAAAUCGUCAGACCAGGUAAGUAGUGAUAAUGUUCAUUUAAUUAUGUAGAGAAGUCAUAAAACUUACUGUAAAGGCUGCUUAUAUUGCAAAUACAUUCAUUAAAUAAAACUAUUUACCAAAUGUGAAGGACUAAUCUUUUUCUCUUUGUUUCUGAAAUGAAUGUGAUUUUUGUGGUAUAUGUAUCGACUGUAGUAUAACUUCUGUAUGCUGGCAAGUCCGAACCCUGAAGCUGCCAACAGUAGGUUGUGCCUCUUUCCUCCAAUGGUGUCCUGAAGUGGAGGGUCUACCAUUACAGAGCAACCCUCUCGUCAUUGACAUAUUGCUUAAAUGGAAAUAUAUCUGAUGUUUCAGAAUAGAUGGAAUCCUUGAACUCUGUCAUUACUCUUCUGGGAUUCUUUUUCCUUUUUGGGAAAUAUUUCAUUUUUUUUAAUGGUUGGUGUCCGAGCUAGCUUGUGUGCACCGCGGCUAAUCCACCGGGUACUUACUACCUCCUACCAGCACACACACCAUUAACUCUUCCCACCAAGCCUCAGGUAGAUGGGGGAGAAAAUCACAUUUUGGAAAAUAUUUCUUUGCAAUGCGCAGAAAUUCAGACUAACCAAAUAAAAAUUAUACUAACAUUUUAAAAUUUUGAAGGAUUCAGACAAUAAAAUAAAAUCCAAGAGUUCUAUAUGAAAUGACCUUUAUCACAGAUUUGGCAGAACAAUAAAAUUAAAUCUAAAAGUUCUCUAUUAAAUAAUCUUUAUCACAAAUUUGGUAACUGAUUUGAUGUUACCAUGCGAGUUAAAUUCAUGGAAGUUGAUGUAGCUUCUUGACUAGGGAAAUUUGACCCAGUACCUUUUUCAUCAGCACUGGAUGUGCUGCGGAAGUCUCUCUUUUUUACCUGGAUAUUAAAAUCCAGUCUCGUAUAUUGUUUUUUUAGAAGACGUUGUAUAUUGCCAUAUAAGAUCUGUAAAUUUGAUACUCGCACACUGAACAAUCUUAAAUUUUUUCUUCUAGGUUGAAGUUAAGAGAGAUGAGCUGCAGGGUGAAGUUCGCAUAUUUUCUGAUUCUGGAAGGAUUCUGCGUCCUCUUCUUGUUGUUUCAAAUCUAAAGAAAAUCAAAGCUUUGAAAGGGGGAGACUAUGGCUUUCAAUCUCUUCUGGACAAUGGGAUUAUUGAGUUUAUAGGACCUGAAGAAGAAGAAGACUGUCGAACUGCAUGGGGAGUUGAGUACAUCUUAAAAGCAGAUAAAGAGAACCCACCUGCUAAGUAUACUCAUUGUGAGUUGGACAUGUCAUUCCUAUUAGGCUUGAGCUGUGGUAUUAUCCCAUUUGCAAACCAUGAUCAUGCUAGGAGGGUCCUCUAUCAAUCUGAGAAGCACUCUCAGCAGGCAAUUGGGUUUUCAACAGUGAAUCCAAACAAUAGAGUUGAUACAAAUACCCAUCAAUUGUAUUAUCCUCAGAGGCCACUUUUCCGGACAAUGUUGGCAGAUUCCCUUGGGAAACCAAAAUGUACUCAGUACCAGAAAGGAAUGCUUCCACGGCCUGAAUACUUCAAUGGGCAAUGUGCAAUUGUCGCAGUAAAUGUUCACCUUGGCUAUAACCAAGAAGAUUCAUUGGUCAUGAAUCGUGCUUCACUGGAGCGCGGAAUGUUUCGAUCUGAGCAUGUUAGGAGCUAUAAGGCUGAGGUCGACAAUAAGGAAGCAAUGGCUAAGAAGCUAAAGAUUGAGGACUCUGUCAACUUUGGGAAAACCCAGAGUAAAAUUGGACGAGUGGACAGCCUAGAUGAUGAUGGUUUUCCAUUCAUUGGGGCAAAUCUCCAGAGUGGAGAUAUCAUAAUUGGGAAAUUUGCUGAAUCAGGGGCUGAUCACAGUGUCAAGCUGAAGCAUACGGAAAGGGGCAUGGUUCAGAAGGUUUUGCUCUCUGCUAAUGAUGAAGGGAAGAAUUUUGCUGUUGUAUCUCUCAGACAAGUAAGAUAUACAUGUGUGUGUAUAUAUAUAUGAAAUGUUUCUACUUAUAUGACUGUAUUUCUAUGCAACUUUUGCUGUUGCAUCUCUCAAACAAGUUAAAGUGCUUUAAGAUGCAGGUUUAUGGGAAACAUUUCUUUAUUAAAAAGACCAUAUUAAGUCUUUGGAGAACUGUUUGCAGGCAGUUUGGCAAGCUUCUUAAAGUAUUUGCACUUCAUGGGAUACAACGUCUCCUAUUCAUAGAUCUGAGCCCGCCAUUAUACAGUUGGAUGCAAAAUUAUCUAUUUUUGAAAUAGGAAUUAUAGUAGAUCUUUUAGCCCCUUACCACCCUUGAGGAAAAUUUGCACUAUUCAGGGGCACUGGAGUGGGUAAAACAGUACUCAUUAUGGAAUUGAUAGACAAUAUUCUAAAGAACUUCAUAAGUUGUGAAAAAUUGAAGAUACAGAUCAAGAAAUUGAAUUUCAAUUGUUAUGAUAAAAGGAGAACAGAUGCUAUGUACUGUGUACAUAAAGACCAUAUAUAGCUUCACGUGCCUUGAAUGGUUGAACCAUCCUAUUAAUGAACACAUUGAAAGACCAGCCACUGAACUGAAGAAAAGCUGAUUUGUCUAAAAGCAGCACUACUAGACUAUCCAAAAGCUUCAAAACUACAAGCCAUACUACUAGACUAUGUUAAGGAUUCAAAACUACUAGCCAUCGUAGAAUGUUAGCAAGAAAGCCUACUCACAUAUUUGUGUUUUACUUAUGGUGUAAAUUGGAACAUGUAAAUGAGGUUGAAUCAGUGCUACAGAUGUCAGAAUCCCUACAGGACUAGAUAGGGAAUACUUUUGCUGUUUUGCUUUGAAGAGUACAGUUCCUAUAGCACAUCCUUAAUGUUACUCUUAUGUAUAAAAUUACUUUACUUUCUUUAAAAAAAUGUUAGCAAAGAUAGCUGUUAGCAGUAAGCAUUAUGCUUCUGUGUUAUGAUUCAAAUAUACAUGUGUGAAAAAGUUGGUCACCUCAUAUUCAUCUUUAUGUUUCUUCCACUAUCCUUCCUCGAGAGUACCUGGAAGACACUGUAUAGAUAAUUCUAAUUCCCUUUAAAUGAUUCCAGUAAUCUUGUACAUUGUGUGCAGGUUCGUUCUCCAUGUCUUGGAGACAAGUUCUCCAGCAUGCAUGGACAAAAGGGUGUCCUUGGAUUUCUGGAAUCUCAGGAAAACUUCCCUUUUACCAUUCAGGGGAUUGUUCCAGAUAUUGUAAUCAAUCCCCAUGCAUUUCCUUCAAGGCAAACCCCUGGUCAGCUGCUAGAAGCCGCUCUGGGGAAGGGCAUUGCCCUAGGUGGUGGUCAAAAAUAUGCCACUCCCUUCUCCACUUUAUCAGUUGAUGCCAUAAUGGAGCAGCUUCAGGGGUAAGAUAUCUGAAAGCUGUAUCGUUUUUCAUAAUUCCACGCCCUUGUGCCAACUAGUUAAGCUGUGUUUGUUUUGUUGUAGUCAAUUGUGAAUUCUGGUGAUUUGUCAUUGACUAUUAAAUGCUAUAUGACCUGCAGGCGAGGAUUCACGAGAUGGGGAAAUGAGAGAGUUUACAACGGUCGGACGGGUGAAAUGGUUCAUUCCCUGAUUUUCAUGGGCCCAACAUUCUACCAACGCCUCAUCCAUAUGGCUGAAGACAAGGUGAAAUUCCGUAACACUGGACCUGUCCAUCCCCUUACUCGCCAACCUGUGGCAGACAGAAAACGCUUUGGUGGAAUUAAGUUUGGUGAAAUGGAGCGCGACUGUCUUAUAGCUCAUGGUGCUGCAGCAAAUCUGCAUGAACGCCUUUUCACACUCAGUGACUCUUCCCAGAUGCACAUAUGUGGUAAGUGCAAGAACAUGGCAAAUGUAAUCCAGAGAACUGUGCAAGGUGGUAAGGUAAGGGGUCCGUUUUGCCGGUUCUGUGAAUCAGUCGAAGAUAUAGUGAAAGUUAAUGUGCCAUAUGGUGCAAAGUUGUUGUGCCAGGAGCUCUUCAGCAUGGGCAUAUCUCUCAAGUUUGACACUGAAAUUUGCUAAUUCCUGAUUAAGUUUCAUCUUCGAGAUUAUACUGAUGAUGCUGACAUGUUGGUGAUGGGAAAAAACUAAUCUCUUGUAUCUGUACCUUAUUAGUUAUCAGGUUGUGUCUAACACUAUUUUCUGUAGAUAUCUCUAGUGUUUAUGGGAAAAUAACUCGACUCUUGUAUUUAAACCUUGUUGGUUAUCAGGUUUGAAAAGGUGUGUUUCGUUUAGACAUUCUCUCUCUCGUGCAUGUGCAUGCGACACACACAUACAUGCUGAAUUGUUGUUGUAGAUUUAAGUUUGCUCUUUUGAUGAGAAAAUAUUGGCAUUUGAUCUUUCCUUGUUAACAAGCAGUAGAUGACCCUUGCUCUGUUAGGGGAUUGAUUUCAGUGCAAAAGGGUAAACAGCAAGUGAUAGAAAUAAGAAGUAACAAGUAUGCUAUGGUGAUCACUAAUGUCAUACUUGUCCUAAGAAAAAAGAGGUUUACCUUUGACAUAUCACUUGCCUUGUUUGGUUUAAGAUUAAAAAUGUUUCUUGACUCUAACAAAUAGAUUUGAUUGAAUAUGUACCUCUAUUGAAGUAAUAAUUAGUUAUUACCUCUAAAAGUGAUAGAAGAAAGAAGUGUAUGAAGUAGUACAGAAUAGCCAAAUGCUGAUAGAGAUUGAGGUACUGAUGAUUAGCUGAAACACUUGCUGAAUUUCAGGUAAAAUAAUCCAAACCAACAAGAGAUCCACCCAUUUAUCAACUUAGUUCAGCCAAGUAAUCUUUGGACUGAUUGAUGACUCAGCUCAGUUAACUCAGCCGCUCAUUGUACUAGAGCGGGGUGAGUGAAAUGGAGGCUCGCAUUAGGGCUACUAUGUGAUAAGAAUGUGUAGGGUUAAAAGUAAGUUCUAUAAAGCGGUGGUUAGACCUAUGUAUAGGGCAGUCUCCUUGCCCGUCAAGAAUGCACACCUUAAGAGCAUGAAGGUAGCGGAGAUGAAAAUGCUCGGUUGUGCAAGCAAGACAUGACCAUAGAUAGGAAGGUUUGGAGGUCGAGGAUUAGAGUAGAAGGAUAGUAGGUAGGCCCGUCUGUUGUAGUACUCUUACGAGCUAGUCUCCUAUUCUCUUUAUUUGGUAUUCACAUAGUAUCUUGUUCUUCAUUUUUACUAGUACCCGUCACUUCAAUUGCAUCUUUUAUCUUGCUAUUUUGUUGUCGUUAUUUUCCUUUUAUCAUUCUUUGACUGCACCUUUUUUGAGCGUCUGGUCUAUUGAAAACAACUUCUCUAUCCCACAAAGUUGUGGUAGAAAUAAAGUUUGCGUACAUUUUACUCUCCCCAGAACCCCCUGCGAGAUUGCAUCAGCAUGUAGUUGUUUAUUUUGCUGGUCUAAAUUCAGUCCACCAGUUUGACAUCCCUAAUUUCUUUUGUAGCAUAUCCUUCAUCUUCUCCAUUUUGGAAAUGUAUAUACUAUUUAACAUUCAAAUGGAGAGAUUCAACCUUAAGAUGGAAAAGACUAAUGAAUAGGCUUCCUUGAGUUAAACAUGUAUAGAAGAGAACUAAUUUACAAAGAGAUAAUUAAGAUGUGUUCUCAAGAUAAUUAAGGGAAGAUACAUAAUAAUGAAAUAACAUAAGCUGUAUGCCUAGAUCUAAUAGCAAAAAAAAAGAAUUUCUUCUACAAUAGCAGACUAUAUAUGUUCAAUUAUGCAGGACAAAAUGUAGUGGCAUUUGGUUUUGCUAGUAUGUUAAAAUCCCAGAAUUUCCCUUUAGAAGAAACCAAAUUAGUGUCACAUAAGAAUUCCCAAGAAAACCACUUCUCAAUCAUUCUAUCAACAUCAUGUACCAAUACAUGAGUCCCAUUCUUGUUCUUGCUUCUUCUUGCUAGUACACCAGCAAUAUAUAUUGCAGCCAUUCUUCCUGGUGAUUCCGGUUUAUCGCCAUCUGGUCCAUCAACAAUCACUAAAUCCCACUUCACUUCAUACACUUCCUUAGGAACAUUAGUGACAAGUGACAUAAAUUUGCACUUUCUUGAUGAAUUACUAUACAGAUCAUGUUUUGAACUACUAGCAGUAGCUGAUAUGUAGCAGUCUUUCUGGUUUCUUCUAGCAUGUUUUAAAAUCUUGUAUGCAUCUCUAGCAACUGUUUGAUACUCGACUCUGUGAAUUCGAGUACUAUUAGCAUUACUCGUGGAGUUAUAAAGUUUGAUCUUCGCGGGGUUGUCCUCAAGAAAGACAGUGAAUCCACCCCUAUUGAUUGUUGAAAUUUGAGAAGAGUAUUGUGUUUCAAGCCCGAAAACAAGAAUAUUGCAGGGGGAUUUUCGCGAUACAAGAUCAUAGAGAAAGUUGAUUUCUUUCUCCGCGAGGAUAUUGUGGCUGUGUUCAACUAGAGACAAGGCAGAGAAAACCGGAGAGGAGUAUGAAGUAAUAACAGAAAUCUUGACAAGUCUGAGUAUGGAAGCAAAUGAUAAAAUGAAAACAAGAAGUGGAAUGAUAUUUCUUUUUGUAAAUUUCAUAGCUGUGUAGUAUUUGUGUAAAAGUGUCCUUUUAAGACGAGUUUUUGGUGAGAAAAGAAGAAGAGGAAAUGCAAUCUCAGAAGAGGGCAUUGUGUUCUUUUCUUUAUGUCACUAUUUUCUACCUAAAGGAAGACUUAUAAUAAUUUGUUGUGACAUGUGUUAAAUUUCCUCUCUGAAUUUUUUUGAGUGAAGAAGAAGUAAUGGUAUUUUCCUUUAGUUUGAAGCAUUUGCAUUUUUUCUUUUAUUUUUUUUAAUUUAGUUGUCACAAUUUUCAACAGUAUUUCUUAAGUUGAAUAUUUUUUGGUAACUGUUGUAAGUGAUGUAGGUGUGAUCAAUCAUUGUGAAUGAUGGGUACUCUUUUUUUUUUUAAAGAAGUUGGACACCAAAUCUCGUCUGCUUUUGCAUUUAUUUGUUGGGGGUCAUUAAUAUAUAUACCCCUCAUAACAAAUAACUUUUUCGCGGAUAUAAAUUUACAUUUUCAUAUAGUAAUAUCCCAUCGCAUGACUUCAAUUUUUAAAGACUUGUGCCUAACUAGACAUAAGUUCGAUUGUUAAGGACAAAAAUUAAAGAUCAACGCAUUUGAAGGGCAAUUUUAUAAUAAGAAAAAACUUCCUUCUAGGUACUGUUUUUGUUAUCGUUUGGUGAACAUGAGUGAUAUUGAAGAAAAACGUAUCUACUAUUUUUAUAUAAACAAGCAUCUCACAUUGCAUGUUGUCUCCAAAUUUAUUUUAAACAGAGUACAGUACCAAACACCAGUUCACUUAAGUAUAUCCAGCUGUCAACAAUUUCAACCAAACGCUAGAAAAUGAUUCUAGCAAAUAAAAUAUUUUUUUUUGCUACACCCUAGGUUCAUAUUCUUAACAUACUUUUAUUACUAAUAUAAUUAGAGAAACAUAACUUCAAAGCUGAGAUGACAACGGAGAAUCACAAAGUACCACAAGUCAGUAUAAUUAUAGAACAUCCACAAAGCCCCGUCGAAUGUGAAGAAAAAAAGAUUUCGUUGAAUAUGUUAUGAAGUUAAGUGAGAAGUCCCUUUCUUUCCCAUUACUGGACCCGGAAAUCGCAUAAAUUGCUUAAUUCAGGAUUUCAUGCCAACUUCGUCUUUUUGCUCAACGACAUUGGAGACCGUUUUCAGGCAUAGAUACAUGAUAUGUAUUGAUGCUUGGUGAAUGAAUAGAACAAUGUGUUUGGCUUUAGAAUUAUGACACACGGAGUGUACUAAUAUUCCAAUAACCAAACACCAAAUGUUCAUGCAGUAGUACCAAAAUUACUUCUUGGUACUAUGAGAACACCAAAAUUUCAAUCUGAAGACGAAUAAUACCAUUUUGAAGUAAAACGAAUGGAAGAGAAAGUGCCUAAAGAUGUCAUGAAAUAAAUAGAGGGGCGCAGGAUUUCAUUGUAUGUUUGCUGCAACUCGGCAAGUACAAGCUCAUCAACAACUAGAUAUCCAAAGAAGCAAGUCAGUAUCUAUAACGACAAGACUUGCAUAUUAUUUGCUUCCAACUUGACAUAUAAUGAAUCGCAACAGUAGCAGCUGCAUUAAAAUAAGAACAUCGACAUCUUUCUGCUCGUUGUGAGAAAGAGGGUAAGAAAAUGAAGGUGGAGAUACUACCUAUUCCUAGAGGACUACUCCAUCCUCAUUACAUCUCAAAACUCAUGUAUAACUAAAGAGACCUAUACUCAUUGUACAAACUUCCAGGGUGUCAUGGCAAACCACAAAGGCGGCGACUGACCUGGGCCUGAGGAGAUCACACUUAAGAACUUCUUCCUUAAGACAUCAAUGUACAAUAUGAACAACUUUUACAUGAAAUAACUCAAGGACUUCUUCCUUCUAGAUCCCCCCUCUCCAUACAGUUCAUUCCACUGAAGAAGCUCUGUCAUAUUUAUGGAUUCCGAUGAAACACUUGCACAAAC
rnacentral:lncRNA from 1 species